rnacentral:rRNA from 1 species
AUUGAACGCUGGCGGCAGGCCUAACACAUGCAAGUCGAACGAGUGGCGGACGGGUGAGUAAUGUCUGGGACACUGCCUGAUGGAGGGGGAUAACUACUGGAAACGGUAGCUAAUACCGCAUACCAUCGGAUGUGCCCAGAUGGGAUUGGCUAGUAGGUGUGGUAACGGAUCACCUAGGCGACGAUCCCUAGCUGGUCUGUGAGGAUGACCAGCAACACUGGAACUGAGACACGGUCCAGACUACUCCGGGAGGCAGCAGUGGAGAAUAUUGCACAAUGGGAGCAAGCCUGAUACAGACAUGCCGAGUGUAUGAAGAAGGCCUUCGGGUUGUAAAGUACUUUCAGCGGGGAGGCGUUACCAGCAGAAGAAGCACCGGCUAACUCCGUGCCAGCAGCCGCGGUAAUAC